UAGGCGUGUGACUGCGUACCUUUUGUAUAAUGGGUCAGCGACUUAUAUUCUGUAGCAAGGUUAACCGAAUAGGGGAGCCGAAGGGAAACCGAGUCUUAACUGGGCGUUAAGUUGCAGGGUAUAGACCCGAAACCCGGUGAUCUAGCCAUGGGCAGGUUGAAGGUUGGGUAACACUAACUGGAGGACCGAACCGACUAAUGUUGAAAAAUUAGCGGAUGACUUGUGGCUGGGGGUGAAAGGCCAAUCAAACCGGGAGAUAGCUGGUUCUCCCCGAAAGCUAUUUAGGUAGCGCCUCGUGAAUUCAUCUCCGGGGGUAGAGCACUGUUUCGGCAAGGGGGUCAUCCCGACUUACCAACCCGAUGCAAACUGCGAAUACCGGAGAAUGUUAUCACGGGAGACACACGGCGGGUGCUAACGUCCGUCGUGAAGAGGGAAACAACCCAGACCGCCAGCUAAGGUCCCAAAGUCAUGGUUAAGUGGGAAACGAUGUGGGAAGGCCCAGACAGCCAGGAUGUUGGCUUAGAAGCAGCCAUCAUUUAAAGAAAGCGUAAUAGCUCACUGGUCGAGUCGGCCUGCGCGGAAGAUGUAACGGGGCUAAACCAUGCACCGAAGCUGCGGCAGCGACGCUUAUGCGUUGUUGGGUAGGGGAGCGUUCUGUAAGCCUGUGAAGGUGUGCUGUGAGGCAUGCUGGAGGUAUCAGAAGUGCGAAUGCUGACAUAAGUAACGAUAAAGCGGGUGAAAAGCCCGCUCGCCGGAAGACCAAGGGUUCCUGUCCAACGUUAAUCGGGGCAGGGUGAGUCGACCCCUAAGGCGAGGCCGAAAGGCGUAGUCGAUGGGAAACAGGUUAAUAUUCCUGUACUUGGUGUUACUGCGAAGGGGGGACGGAGAAGGCUAUGUUGGCCGGGCGACGGUUGUCCCGGUUUAAGCGUGUAGGCUGGUUUUCCAGGCAAAUCCGGAAAAUCAAGGCUGAGGCGUGAUGACGAGGCACUACGGUGCUGAAGCAACAAAUGCCCUGCUUCCAGGAAAAGCCUCUAAGCAUCAGGUAACAUCAAAUCGUACCCCAAACCGACACAGGUGGUCAGGUAGAGAAUACCAAGGCGCUUGAGAGAACUCGGGUGAAGGAACUAGGCAAAAUGGUGCCGUAACUUCGGGAGAAGGCACGCUGAUAUGUAGGUGAAGUCCCUCGCGGAUGGAGCUGAAAUCAGUCGAAGAUACCAGCUGGCUGCAACUGUUUAUUAAAAACACAGCACUGUGCAAACACGAAAGUGGACGUAUACGGUGUGACGCCUGCCCGGUGCCGGAAGGUUAAUUGAUGGGGUCAGCGCAAGCGAAGCUCUUGAUCGAAGCCCCGGUAAACGGCGGCCGUAACUAUAACGGUCCUAAGGUAGCGAAAUUCCUUGUCGGGUAAGUUCCGACCUGCACGAAUGGCGUAAUGAUGGCCAGGCUGUCUCCACCCGAGACUCAGUGAAAUUGAACUCGCUGUGAAGAUGCAGUGUACCCGCGGCAAGACGGAAAGACCCCGUGAACCUUUACUAUAGCUUGACACUGAACAUUGAGCCUUGAUGUGUAGGAUAGGUGGGAGGCUUAGAAGUGUGGACGCCAGUCUGCAUGGAGCCGACCUUGAAAUACCACCCUUUAAUGUUUGAUGUUCUAACGUUGACCCGUAAUCCGGGUUGCGGACAGUGUCUGGUGGGUAGUUUGACUGGGGCGGUCUCCUCCUAAAGAGUAACGGAGGAGCACGAAGGUUGGCUAAUCCUGGUCGGACAUCAGGAGGUUAGUGCAAUGGCAUAAGCCAGCUUGACUGCGAGCGUGACGGCGCGAGCAGGUGCGAAAGCAGGUCAUAGUGAUCCGGUGGUUCUGAAUGGAAGGGCCAUCGCUCAACGGAUAAAAGGUACUCCGGGGAUAACAGGCUGAUACCGCCCAAGAGUUCAUAUCGACGGCGGUGUUUGGCACCUCGAUGUCGGCUCAUCACAUCCUGGGGCUGAAGUAGGUCCCAAGGGUAUGGCUGUUCGCCAUUUAAAGUGGUACGCGAGCUGGGUUUAGAACGUCGUGAGACAGUUCGGUCCCUAUCUGCCGUGGGCGCUGGAGAACUGAGGGGGGCUGCUCCUAGUACGAGAGGACCGGAGUGGACGCAUCACUGGUGUUCGGGUUGUCAUGCCAAUGGCACUGCCCGGUAGCUAAAUGCGGAAGAGAUAAGUGCUGAAAGCAUCUAAGCACGAAACUUGCC
rnacentral:rRNA from 1 species